GGACAAGAAUCCUCCCAUUCCUUCUGUCCGCCACAUCCCGUCAUCCAUCUCACCAUGUCUAAAGAACCAUUGUUUCAUUUCACCUUUCAGCGCUGAGACUCUGUCACCACUUUCUUAUUUUUCUCUCUCUCUCUCUUCACUCUUUGUUCAGUUGUUGACCACAAAUGUAAAGUCAGCAUGUGAACAGUGUUUGUGUUUCUUAUCUUUACGGAGUGUUUUGGAUCCACCACAACUCAACCCCAUGUCUCCCCUGACUUCUCCCUUCUUCCUCUGCUUUUGUCUCUCUUCUCCACCUCCCCUGCUUUACAGAAGACUGUCAGAAAGGUGAGAGGUGCUGGUUCCCAUUUCUCUGAUUGUCUUCCUGCCCGACUUCCUGCAUUUCCUUUCUCUUUACUUUCCCUCUACCUCCUGCUACUAAUCCCCUUAUACUCUUGUUAUAUGUGUGGUUCAAGAUUAGACCUCCUUUUUUACUGUAUGUCCACAUUAAGCUGUGGUCACCUAUACUUUUUUAAAUGCAGCUAAAAUCAUUAUACGUUUGUUCUGAUUUACAUUUUUUUGAACAACUAUGAAACAAUGAUUUAAUUGCAACCCAUAAACACUACAUGCUAAGCAGGAGUCAUUCCCACUGCACUGAUUAAAUCCUUAUUCUGUGUAUUCAUCUAUAUUGGCUUUUAAAAUCGAACGAUCACAGGCAACUAAAGCUCAUCUUAACUUUACUAUCACACAGUUGCUGACACUCACUGUGCUGGCCCAUUGUUUUGGAAACUCUGUUAAACCCAUACACAUGAAAACACCAAGCCACCAUUUUCAGAUUUACACACUCUUGACACCAUUUUGGAAAGAAAUAUGUUUACAAAUUUAAUUGCCUCAGUGUGGACAUACCCUGUCUCCUCUCUCUCUCUCUCUCUCUCUCUUUUUUUAAAAUACUUUUGUAUCCUUUUUUUUUCUCUCCCUCAGCUUCUCCAUCUGUCUUUCUCAUCUUUUGUCCUCUCUCUGCUCCAGUGUCUGUCAGUCAGCCCUGUUCCUUGUUUAACUCUCCCGUUCCUCCCUGCUGUCCUCUCAGGUGUUUUCCAAACUUUUGGAGCCUGUCACGAGCCGCCUGACGUGGCCCGCCUCUCUCCUCCCUUCAUUGCCUUCGGGAGCGACACUUGGACUUAGAGCUCUGACUCCUCUCAACAACAACUACAAGAAGACUAAUUAGCCGCUUGCCACAGAUUUACAGACUGUUAAACUUAUUUCUCAUAUUGAAACUUCUGCUGGCUUCCUUUUUGUUAAUUUUCAGUCCAAUGGUGCUGGAUUCUUACACUUUAACCCCUUGGUGUGGACACAGAUAUCCUCUGAACACUGAUAGGCCAGAAUCAUCUCAGGAUCUCCAGGACACAGAGCCUGCUCUAACGGUUUUGAAGCCGCUAAGUGAACAUUAUAUGGAAGACAACGUCAGACAGACGGUGGUUAACUCUAUCAAAGCCAGCCUGACAGAACAGGGCUCGCAGCACACCAAGUUAAAGACUCACUGACGCUCUUCCUCCUCCUCUUUCUCCCUCGUCAUGUUCAUUACCCGCCCCCCACCCCUACCCCCGCCCACUCGCUCAAUGUGUUCAGUCCUAGAACUGUGGAACUAGUUCAACACCAAAGCUGCCCCUCUUCCCCCCCCCCACAAUCAUCACAUCACUGACCCGUCUUUUCAUGAGCAGCGUGGACCUGUAGGCUCGCCGUCUGUCCUGUUCUUCAUCGCCCCCCAGUGCCUCAGAGCAGAAACUCCAUGUUCAUGAGAGGACUGAGCAGAGAAGCCGGCAGCGUCGCCUCUUGCCAAAACAGGACCUGAAGGAAGGUCAUCUUUCUCCUGUGUGCCACGCUGUGAUAGAUGUUUUAAUGCGCACUGUAGGCUGACACAAACACAUACACACUUACACACACAGGUUUGCUGGUACCGGACUGCACUUCAGGACUGAGCUGUAAUUCAGGGAAAACUGACACCGCUGUGGGCAGCUGUUAUCAACAGUGGAUGCAAACUGAAACACUUUUCUGUGCAUUUAAUCGAUUUGUCUUACAGGCUGGACAGUUCCGAGCUCAGCUUACUUUCUCUUCAGCCUGUUGAGUAACGUUUCCUACAAGCACAAGUGACUAAUCGACUGAGAAAACUAAUACUGAGGUGAUGUUUUCUUUCUAUCUUCUAUCUUUUUUUUUUUUUUUUUUUUUUUUUUUUGGUUAAUUCAGUAAAAUCAGGAAACUUAUUUUAUUAAUUCUACUGAAGUGAAAGUAAAUUGACUGUUCUGGUCAUGGACAGGCUGGACAGGCUAAUUUAACUGUUAAAUUUCCAGCCUGCUCUGUUCUUCUAAAUUGAUCUCUCCUUCUAUAAAUCUGACAAGAAGAGAUGAGUGCAGGAAAUCAAGUAAAACUUGUUUGUUUGUUUUUUCUGAUAUACUAGUAGUUCACUUGCCUGCCUCCAUUCAUUCAGUUUUUUCACACUAAAUUUGGAAGGUGCGUUAACCAGGUAACAUUUGUCAUAAUCAAACUGGGCUCAGGUUGCUUCUAGAUAAACCCUCUGUACACAUCUGUCUUUCCCUUUAAUACUUUGUGAUUGUGAGAAGAGAACUGUAGAAAGCCUCAGGCCGCUCAGAUUAUUAUUAUUAUUAUUAUUUUUUGGUCUGUUGUUAUUUUCGAACUGACGUGUUUUAUCUGGCCUUUAGUGUCUUUGUGCCAGUGUUUGGCCCUCUGCAUGGUGUUAAGAGCUACUGUAGCAUCUAGCUAACUAAGAGCUUUUAGAGCACAGCUAAAGUCGUUUAGCCAGGGAGGGUUGACAUUUUGAACCAUUUUCUCUUCCACUGCCUUUCAUUAAAUCACACUAGCAUCACAUUUUUAGGACCUGCAGACUGUAUGUUUGAGUCAUGUUUUUAGGGUAUUUUGGGGAGAUGUAGAUCUUUCAUAGCUCAAACCCCAAUUAAAGGAAUACAAGACAUUUAUUCACUUUCUUGGCAAGAGUUAAAUAAGAGGAUUGAUGCUACUCAUGUCUGUAUGAUGAAUAUGAAGCUACAGCCAGUUAGCUUAGCUUAGCAUAAAGGGUGGAAACAGGGAAACAGCUAGCUUGGCUCUGUAAAAAUGUAAAAAGAAAUCAAAUACAAAUAUGCCUACCAGCUAAGUAGCAUUUUUUUUUAUCUUGCUUGUUUAAUUUAAACAAAAUCAUGCAGAGUCAUAGGUUUUUUCUUACACUUUAAUCAAUCAAGAUAAAAGGUGCUAAUUAGGCUUUAAAGGUGCUGGUAGGCAUACCUUACAUUUGACAGAGCUAGGCUAGCUGUUUCUCUGUGUUUCCAGUCUUAAUGCUAAGCUAGGCUAACUGGCUGCCCACUGCAGCGUUAUAUUUAAACUGACAGACAUGCCAAGCGUAUUUCCCAAAAUGUUAAACUGUUCCUUUAACAGACAAUCGAUUAUUUUAUCCGCACAUUUUUUUUCCUUUCUCUGAAAAUAAAUCAAAAUCACUGGACUCUUAUCCUUCUCUCCAGUGAAGCAUAGGAUUAUGUAGUCCUCCAUCAGAGCUGAGUCUCCCAAAAGCAGCUUGAUAAAAUGUGAUUCCUCCACAACAGGAACCUGACUUGAUGAAGAAACCUGCCCCUUUAUUUUUUUUUAACUUUAGCUAACACAUUAACAGCUGCAUCACAUCUGUCUGAGCUCUUUUGCAUUGAUUCCAUCCACAGUAUUUCUCACCUCAAGCACCAGUCUCGUACUGUACAGUCUCUCUUUUUCUGUGUUCACAUAUUACAGAAUCGGGCAUGUAUGUUGGAUUAAAUAUUUAAAUAAACUUUGUAUACAUUUUAUAGUGAAUCAGUUGACAGUGGCUGUUUUCUUUCUUUUCUUGAUCAACUUAACAGUCUGGUUUGUUAAAGAAUGAUAAGUUGCUGCUAUAGGGUUUACAUCAGUUUUCUCAUUUUCAUGAGGAUGGAUGUUAAUAAAAACGUGUGAAUAUUUGGAUUCUGAUAGGAAGCUGUUUUGAUUGUGACGAGUGGGUUGGAGACGAUGUCUGUCUGCCUUUUAAAGAUAUCUCUGGUAAUUUAUUUUUGAAUAAAAUGUUUACCUUAAGAAUAAAUCAUCAAUAUAA